rnacentral:rRNA from 1 species
GAUGAACGCUGGCGGCGUGCCUAAUACAUGCAAGUCGAGCGAACCGACGAGGAGCUUGCUCCUCUGACGUUAUCAGCGGACGGGUGCGUAACACGUGGAUAACCUACCUAUCCGACUGGGAUGACUUCGGGAAACCGGAUCUACUACCGGAUAAUAUAUUGACCCGCGUUGUUCCAUCGUUAGAUACGCUUUUGCUUUCGCUUAUAGCUUGAUCCGCGCCGCAUUAGCUAGUUGGUAAGGUAACGGCUUACCAAGGCAACGAUGCGUAGCCGACCUGAGCGGGUGAUCGGACACACUGGAAAUGAGACACGGACCAGACUCCUACGGGAGGCAGCAGUAGGGAAUCGUCCGCAAGGGGCGAAAGCGUGACGGAGAAACGCCGCGUGAGUGAUGAAGGUCUUCGGAUCGUAAAACUCUGUUAUUAGGGAAGAACAAAUGUGUAAGUAACUAUGCACGUCUUGACGGUACCUAAUCAGAAAGCCACGGCUAACUACGUG